CUACUCGACUCCUACGGGAGGCAGCAGUGGGGAAUCUUGCGCAAUGGGCGAAAGCCUGACGCAGCAACGCCGCGUGGGGGAUGAAGGCUCUCGGGUUGUAAACCCCUUUCAGCAGGGACGAAUUUUGACGGUACCUGCAGAAGAAGCCCCGGCUAACUACGUGCCAGCAGCCGCGGUAACACGUAGGGGGCAAGCGUUGUCCGGAUUUAUUGGGCGUAAAGAGCUCGUAGGUGGCUGAGUAAGUCGGAUGUUAAAUCUCCAGGCUCAACCUGGAACACCACCCGAUACUGCUCUGGCUAGAGUCCGGUAGGGGAGUGUGGAAUUCCUGGUGUAGCGGUGAAAUGCGCAGAUAUCAGGAGGAACACCAGCGGCGAAGGCGGCACUCUGGGCCGGUACUGACACUGAGGAGCGAAAGCAUGGGUAGCAAACAGGAUUAGAUACCCUGGUAG
rnacentral:rRNA from 1 species